rnacentral:rRNA from 1 species
GAACGCUGGCGGCAUGCCUAACACAUGCAAGUCGAACGGUAACGCGGAGAGCUUGCUCUCUGGCGACGAGUGGCGGACGGGUGAGUAAUACUUGGGAAUCUGCCCAGUAGUGGGGGACAACAUUCGGAAACGGAUGCUAAUACCGCAUACGCACUACGGUGGAAAGUGGGGGAUCUUCGGACCUCACGCUAUUGGAUGAGCCCAAGUCGGAUUAGCUUGUUGGUGAGGUAAAAGCUCACCAAGGCGACGAUCCGUAGCUGGUCUGAGAGGACGAUCAGCCACACUGGGACUGAGACACGGCCCAGACUCCUACGGGAGGCAGCAGUGGGGAAUAUUGGACAAUGGGCGCAAGCCUGAUCCAGCAAUGCCGCGUGUGUGAAGAAGGCCUGCGGGUUGUAAAGCUACUUUCAGUAGAGAAGAAAGCCGUAGGGUUAAUACCCCUGAGUCUUGACGUAACCUACAGAAGAAGCACCGGCUAACUCCGUG